rnacentral:rRNA from 1 species
GAUGAACGCUGGCGGCGUGCCUAAUACAUGCAAGUCGAGCGAACAGACGAGGAGCUUGCUCCUCUGACGUUAGCGGCGGACGGGUGAGUAACACGUGGAUAACCUACCUAUAAGACUGGGAUAACUUCGGGAAACCGGAGCUAAUACCGGAUAAUAUAUUGAACCGCAUGGUUCAAUAGUGAAAGACGGUUUUGCUGUCACUUAUAGAUGGAUCCGCGCCGCAUUAGCUAGUUGGUAAGGUAACGGCUUACCAAGGCGACGAUGCGUAGCCGACCUGAGAGGGGGAUCGGCCACACUGGAACUGAGACACGGUCCAGACUCCUACGGGAGGCAGCAGUAGGGAAUCUUCCGCAAUGGGCGAAAGCCUGACGGAGCAACGCCGCGUGAGUGAUGAAGGUCUUCGGAUCGUAAAACUCUGUUAUUAGGGAAGAACAAAUGUGUAAGUAACUAUGCACGUCUUGACGGUACCUAAUCAGAAAGCCACGGCUAACUACGG